CCAAACCCUGCCUGGGAGUGUGAAGCUAUUCAGCAGUGAGAGCCAUCAUGCUGAUCUUUACACCAUGCCCUGGCCUUGUUUAGCAUCAUCUCCCUGUCUAGAAAGGACAAACUUCCCUCCUUUGGUGCCUGGCCUGACUCUGCCUGGCUAUUUCCUUCAUGCCCAGACUCCCUGCAGAUGCUGAGGCCCACAGCAGAAAAUUAACGCUGUUCAACAUACAGUCACAAGACUUGAGAUGGGAGGAGCCCAGAAAACGCAGAGUGAAGAAGGAAGGAUCCCACUGUGUGGUCACACUGGUCUACUAAUCCAGCCGCAGGAAUUGUGACCAGUGAUGUGACAGGGGAAAAAAUACUUC